rnacentral:rRNA from 1 species
GAUGAACGCUGGCGGCGUGCCUAAUACAUGCAAGUCGAGCGAACAGACGAGGAGCUUGCUCCUCUGACGUUAGCGGCGGACGGGUGAGUAACACGUGGAUAACCUACCUAUAAGACUGGGAUAACUUCGGGAAACCGGAGCUAAUACCGGAUAAUAUAUUGAACCGCAUGGUUCAAUAGUGAAAGACGGUUUUGCUGUCACUUAUAGAUGGAUCCGCGCCGCAUUAGCUAGUUGGUAAGGUAACGGCUUACCAAGGCAACGAUGCGUAGCCGACCUGAGAGGGUGAUCGGCCACACUGGAACUGAGACACGGUCCAGACUCCUACGGGAGGCAGCAGUAGGGAAUCUUCCGCAAUGGGCGAAAGCCUGACGGUGCACCGCCGCGUGAGUGAUGAAGGUCUUCGGAUCGUAAAACUCUGUUAUUAGGGAAGAACAAAUGUGUAAGUAACUAUGCACGUCUUGACGGUACCUAAUCAGAAAGCCACGGCUAACUACGUG